rnacentral:rRNA from 1 species
CUACGGAGGGUGCGAGCGUUAAUCGGAAUUACUGGGCGUAAAGCGCGCGUAGGCGGUUUGUUAAGUCGGAUGUGAAAGCCCUGGGCUCAACCUGGGAACUGCAUUCGAUACUGUCAGACUAGAGUAUGGUAGAGGUAAGUGGAAUUCCUGGUGUAGCGGUGAAAUGCGUAGAUAUCAGGAGGAACAUCAGUGGCGAAGGCGGCUUACUGGAUCAAUACUGACGCUGAGGUGCGAAAGCGUGGGGAGCAAACAGGAUUAGAAACCCCAGUAGUCC